rnacentral:rRNA from 1 species
UUAUACAUGAGCAAAAUCUCAACUUUAUUAGAAGAGACGCAUUUAUUAGAUAAAAAGCCAAUGCAUGCUUUUACAGUAUGAAAAUUGGUGAUUUAUAAUAACUUAGCAAAUCGCAAAGUGAAAACAGGCGAUAAAUCAUUCAAGUUUCUGACCUAUCAGCUUUCGACGGUAUGGUAUUGGCUUACCGUGGCAGUGACGGUUAACGGGGGAUUAGGGUUCGAUUCCGGAGAGGGAGCCUGAGAAACGGCUACCACAUCUAAGGAAGGCAGCAGGCGCGCAAAUUACCCAAUUCUAACAGUUUGAGAGAGGUAGUAACAAGAAAUAACAAUACAAGGCAGUUAAAAUGCUUUGUAAUUGGAAUGAUAGAAAUUUAAACCCUUUUUAAAGUAUCAAUUGGAGGGCAAGUCUGGUGCCAGCAGCCGCGGUAAUUCCAGCUCCAAUAGCGUAUAUUAAAAUUGUUGCAGUUAAAAAGCUCGUAGUUGAAGUUCUGCUAAAAGUAACCGGUCUGCUUUGAAUAAAAGUGGUAUCUUGGUAUGUAUUUAGCAAUGAUGUCCUUUGAAGUGUUUUUUACUUUAUUGUAAUAAAGCAUAUUCAGGACUUUUACUUUGAGAAAAUUAGAGUGUUUCUAGCAGGCUAACGCUUUGAAUACUGCAGCAUGGAAUAAUAAG